CCUACGGGCUGCAGCAGUGGGGAAUUUUGGACAAUGGGCGCAAGCCUGAUCCAGCCAUUCCGCGUGCAGGAUGAAGGCCCUCGGGUUGUAAACUGCUUUUGUACGGAACGAAAAAGCCUUCUCUAAUACAGAGGGUCCAUGACGGUACCGUAAGAAUAAGCACCGGCUAACUACGUGCCAGCAGCCGCGGUAAUACGUAGGGUGCAAGCGUUAAUCGGAAUUACUGGGCGUAAAGCGUGCGCAGGCGGUGAUGUAAGACAGGUGUGAAAUCCCCGGGCUUAACCUGGGAACUGCAUUUGUGUCUGCAUCGCUGGAGUGCGGCAGAGGGGGAUGGAAUUCCGCGUGUAGCAGUGAAAUGCGUAGAUAUGCGGAGGAACACCGAUGGCGAAGGCAAUCCCCUGGGCCUGCACUGACGCUCAUGCACGGAAGCGUGGGGAGCAAACAGGAUUAGAUACCCGCGUAGUC
rnacentral:rRNA from 1 species